CCCUUUUCGGGGGUUUAGUGGCGCAGGUAACACAUUAAGCACUCCGCCUGGGGAGUACGGCGGCAAGGGUUGAAACUCAAAGGAAUUGACGGGGGCCCGCACAAGCGGUGGAGCAUGUGGUUUAAUUGGAAGCAACGCGAAGAACCUUACCAGGUCUUGACAUCCCUCUGACCGCUCUAGAGAUAGAGUUUUCCUUCGGGACAGAGGUGACAGGUGGUGCAUGGUUGUCGUCAGCUCGUGUCGUGAGAUGUUGGGUUAAGUCCCGCAACGAGCGCAACCCCUAUUGUUAGUUGCCAUCAUUUAGUUGGGCACUCUAGCGAGACUGCCGGUAAUAAACCGGAGGAGGGUGGGGAUGACGUCAAAUCAUCAUGCCCCUUAUGACCUGGGCUACACACGUGCUACAAUGGCUGGUACAACGAGUCGCAAGCCGGUGACGGCAAGCUAAUCUCUUAAAGCCAGUCUCAGUUCGGAUUGUAGGCUGCAACUCGCCUACAUGAAGUCGGAAUCGCUAGUAAUCGCGGAUCAGCACGCCGCGGUGAAUACGUUCCCGGGCCUUGUACACACCGCCCGUCACACCACGAGAGUUUGUAACACCCGAAGUCGGUGAGGUAACCUUUAGGAGCCAGCCGCCUAAGUGAAUUUGGUAGUG
rnacentral:rRNA from 1 species